UACCUCUCAGAGUCACACCUGGAGAGUUUCCGUCACUCUCCCAGUCUCGACUAUGGGAGGGAGAGUCAAGCAGAGACCUGUCCAUUCCAUUCCUAGCUUGGACAGUGGCUAGUGAGUGGCAGGCCAUCUGCUACAAGU